GACGAACGCUGGCGGCGUACUUAACACAUGCAAGUCGAACGGAGCACCCUUGAUUGAGGUUUCGGCCAAAUGAUAGGAAUGCUUAGUGGCGGACUGGUGAGUAACGCGUGAGGAACCUGCCUUUCAGAGGGGGACAACAGUUGGAAACGACUGCUAAUACCGCAUGACGCAUUUUGAUCGCAUGGUCGAAAUGCCAAAGAUUUAUCGCUGAAAGAUGGCCUCGCGUCUGAUUAGCUAGUUGGUGAGGUAACGGCCCACCAAGGCGACGAUCAGUAGCCGGACUGAGAGGUUGACCGGCCACAUUGGGACUGAGAUACGGCCCAGACUCCUACGGGAGGCAGCAGUGGGGAAUAUUGGGCAAUGGGCGCAAGCCUGACCCAGCAACGCCGCGUGAAGGAAGAAGGCUUUCGGGUUGUAAACUUCUUUUAAGUGGGAAGAGUAGAAGACGGUACCACUUGAAUAAGCCACGGCUAACUACGUGCCAGCAGCCGCAGUAA
rnacentral:rRNA from 1 species